AUGCACGCUGGCGGCGUGCCUAAUACCUGCAAGUCGAGCGAACAGACGAGGAGCUUGCUCCUCUGACGUUAGCGGCGGACGGGUGAGUAACACGUGGAUAACCUACCUAUAAGACUGGGAUAACUUCGGGAAACCGGAGCUAAUACCGGAUAAUAUAUUGAACCGCAUGGUUCAAUAGUGAAAGACGGUUUUGCUGUCACUUAUAGAUGGAUCCGCGCCGCAUUAGCUAGUUGGUAAGGUAACGGCUUACCAAGGCAACGAUGCGUAGCCGACCUGAGAGGGUGAUCGGCCACACUGGAACUGAGACACGGUCCAGACUCCUACGGGAGGCAGCAGUAGGGAAUCUUCCGCAAUGGGCGAAAGCCUGACGGAGCAACGCCGUGUGAGUGAUGAAGGUCUUCGGAUCGUAAAACUCUGUUAUUAGGGAAGAACAAAUGUGUAAGUAACUAUGCACGUCUUGACGGUACCUAAUCAGAAAGCCACGGCUAACUACGUG
rnacentral:rRNA from 1 species